CCUACGGGUGGCUGCAGUGAGGAAUAUUGGUCAAUGGGCGCGAGCCUGACCCAGCCAAGUAGCGUGAAGGAUGACUGCCCUACGGGUUGUCAACUUCUUUUAUAAAGGAAUAAAGUGAGGCACGUGUGCCUUUUUGUAUGUACUUUAUGAAUAAGGAUCGGCUAACUACGUGCCAGCAGCCGCGGUAAUACGGAUGAUCCGAGCGUUAUCCGGAUUUAUUGGGUUUAAAGGGAGAGGAGAUGGGUUGUUAAGUCAGUAGUGAAAUUUUGGGGCUCAACCGUAAAAUGGCCAUUGAUACUGGCAGUCUUGAGUACAGUUGAGGUAGGCGGAAUUCGUGGUGUAGCGGUGAAAUGCUUAGAUAUCACGAAGAACUCCGAUUGCGAAGGCAGCUUACUAAACUGCCACUGACAUUGAUGCUCGAAAGUGUGGGUAUCAAACAGGAGUAGAUACCCUUGUAGUC
rnacentral:rRNA from 1 species